UUUAAAGUCUGACCUGCCCACUGAGUUUUUAAAUGGCCGCGGUAUUUUGACCGUGCAAAGGUAGCAUAAUAAUUAGUUUUUUAAUUGGAAGCUGGAAUGAAUGGUUGGACGAGAAAAUUACUGUCUCAGUUUAAUUGAAUUAGAAUUUUAUUUUUAAGUUAAAAAGCUUAAGUAUUUUUAAAAGACGAGAAGACCCUAUAGAGUUUUAUAAUUAUUUAUAUUAGUAAUUUUUAGGCGUUUUAUUUUUUAAUAUGGACAAUUAUUUUGUUGGGGUGACAGAAAAAUAUAAGGAACUUUUUUUUAUACUAAAUCAUUAAUAUAUGUUUAAUUGAUCCAUUUUUUAUGAUUAUAAGAUUAAAUUACCUUAGGGAUAACAGCGUUAUUAUUUUUGAGAGUUCUUAUCGAAAAAAUAGUUUGCGACCUCGAUGUUGGAUUAAAAUUAACUUUUGGUGUAGAAGCUAAUAGGUUAGGUCUGUUCGACCUUUAAAAUUUUACAUGAUCUGAGUUUAAACCGGUGUGAGCCAGGUUGGUUUCUAUCUUUAAAUAUUAUGGAUAUUUUAGUACGAAAGGACCAAAUAUUCACAAAAUUUGUUAGGUUAGGAUUUUUAGUAAUAUA
rnacentral:rRNA from 1 species